UAUAAAGCAAGUAAAUGGAAUUAGCAGAAAUUAAAAUCGCAUGUGUACCAAAAAUGCAAUGAAUGAUUUCAACCUUCAUGCAAUAAUACUUUUUUUUUUGAGAUUUUUAAUCCAUGUGUGAUAUUGAGUCUGAUAUCAGUGUGUGCGUCUCUUCUCUCUUUCUCUGCUGGAGUUUGUGUUUAUUUGAGUGUGAAGGAGGUUUUUGUACGACGCUUUCACUAGAAUGAAGCACUGUGGUGGACUUUUGGUGGAGGAACUGAACUGGUGCUCAAAACUGGUCCCGCAGUGAAGCCCUCCGUGUCUCUGCUGCCUCCCCUCUUCUCUGCAGAUCUCUGUAGACUCAGCCGCACUGCUGCUCUGCCUGCUCAGCUCUUACUCUCCACAGGGGGCGCAGGUGAGCUGGACGCUGGACGGGUCAGAGGUCACCGAGGGGGUUCAGACCAGCGCAGAGAGCGAGCGGGACGGACGCUACAGCCGCAGCAGCGUCCUGAGCCUCAGCAAAGCACGCUGGGAAGCCGGCGAGCGCUUCGUCUGCAGAGUAACACAUGACGGAGCUGAUCACGAGACCUCGUUCCUCAAGAGCUCCGAGUGCUGAUGUUUCUCCAGUGAAGAGCAGCAGGAUUCACAGCAGUCUCCUGAUUUACCAGCUCAAUACUCAAGCAGUCUUUCAAUGUGCUGCCAUUGCUGUUCAUUCAAUAAAGCUUCUGAACGCCUUA